CCUACGGGAGGCAGCAGUGAGGAAUAUUGGUCAAUGGGCGUAAGUCUGAACCAGCCAUGCCGCGUGCAGGAUGAAGGCUCUAUGAGUUGUAAACUGCUUUUGUAUGGGGGUAAACACCCCUACGUGUCGGGGCUUGAAAGUAUCAUACGAAUAAGGAUCGGCUAACUCCGUGCCAGCAGCCGCGGUAAUACGGAGGAUCCAAGCGUUAUCCGGAUUUAUUGGGUUUAAAGGGUGCGUAGGCGGUUUGAUAAGUUAGAGGUGAAAUACCGGUGCUCAACACCGGAACUGCCGCUAAUACUGUUGAACUAGAGAGUAGUUGCGGCAGGCGGAAUGGAUGGUGUAGCGGUGAAAUGCUUAGAGAUCAUACAGAACCCCGAUUGCGAAGGCAGCUUACCAAACUAUAUCUGACGUUGAGGCACGAAAGCGUGGGGAGCAAACAGGAUUAGAUACCCGGGUAGUC
rnacentral:rRNA from 1 species